UACGGAGGAUGCAAGCGUUAUCCGGAUUUAUUAGGUUUAAAGGGUGCGUAGGCGGACUCGUAAGUCAGCGGUGAAAUACUAGAGCUUAACUGUAGAACUGCCGUUGAUACUGUGAGUCUUGAGUAUAGUCAAGGCAGGCGGAAUGUGUAAUGUAGCGGUGAAAUGCUUAGAUAUUACACAGAACACCGAUUGCGAAGGCAGCUUGCUGGGUCAUUACUGACGCUGAUGCACGAAAGCGUGGGGAGUCAAACA
rnacentral:rRNA from 1 species